UGGCAGUGUUCAUGAGCUUUUGAAGCGUGAUUCCAGCUGCAUCCUAUUGCAUAAAAAAGAAAGCAAAAGCAGUGAAGGUAAAGCAGGUUCCUUUAAACACACAGCUAGAAAGUAGUCUGGCGACCAUGAUGAUAAAGGAAUUCAAACAUUUAAAUGCCAAGCUGUUUGCCAUCCCACUACAAGGUCCCAGCAGCAACCAGGCCGAAAGCAAAAGCAAAAUAGAGGGUCGGAUUUAUUUUUGAAUGAUUUAAUUUAUUUUUCUUAUCUGUUGGAGACAUAUGUAUAAACCCCAUCAGAGGGUAAUAAAAAAAAAGGGCAAAGCCCAAAAUAAAUGGGCUGGAAUGUUGUGUAGAGGGCGAAGGCCCAUAAGCCUAAAACAGCUCCAACCAGGCGAUCAAAAGUACGCCCAGUACUCCACAAUUAUUCGGCAACCCGCCGCUAUUAUCGCCAACCAGGUGACCAAAAGUACGCCCAGUACUCCAAAAUUAUUCGGCAACCUGCCGCUAUUACCACCAACCAGGUGAUGAAAUGUACAACCCGUACUCUAAUAUCAUUUGGCAACUAGCCAUUCAUGCCACCAACUAGGUGAUGAAAUGUACAACCCGUACUCUCCUUCUUGCCACCAACCAGGUGAUCAAAAGUACGCCUAGUACUCCAAAUUAUACAUGAGCAUUACUCAUGUCAUUCAUACAUAAACAUUCAUGAGCAUCACUCAUGACAAUCAUACAUAAACAUUCAUGACCAUCAUUCAUGUCAACAUUCAUGAGCAUCACUCAUGUUAACAUUCAUGAGCAUCACUCAUGACAACAUCCAUGAGCAUCACUCAUGUCAAUUAACAUAAACAUUCAUGAGCAUCACUCAUGUCAAUCAGCUUCAAAAGCUUCAUUUACAGAGCUCUAGCUUCAAAAACUUCAUUUACAAAAGCUCUAGCUUUAAAAGCUUCGUUUACAGAGCUCCAGCUUUAAAGCUUCACUUGCAAAGCUUCACUUACAAAGCUUCAGUGUAGGGUAUACAAAUACCACCUCCGAACAACCACCACUUUGGCCCAUACAUGGAUUCAAUUUGAAGUCUCCAGCCAACAGACUCUAUUGACCUAAGACUUGGGGGACUACACUAUACACCAUAUAUUGGGCCUCAACUGGGCCUCAUGAAAAAUACUUGGGGGACUUAGCCCAUUAUUUAUGUAUUGAGGAACGAACCCUUAUUCUAUCAAAGGGACUCCCUCACUUUCAUUAGAAAGCACCCAUCACUUAUGUAUUAAGGAGCGAGCCCUUAUUCUAUAAAAGGGACUCCCUCACCACCAUUAGAGAGCAUCGCCGCCUACUGAGCAACCGCCUCGCCAUGAGCAUCAACUCUAGCCCAUCAUUUAUGUAUUGAGGAGCAAACCCUUAUUCUAUAAAAGGGACUCCCUCACCUUCAUUAGAGAGCAACGCCGCCAGCUGAGCAACCGCCUCGCGGCGAGCAUCACUCCUAACCCAUCACUUAUGUAUUGAGGAGCGAGCUCUUAUUCUAUAAAAGGGACUCCCUCACCACCAUUAGAGAGCAUCGCCGCCUACUGAGCAACCACCUCGCCGCAAGCAUCAACUCUAGCCUAUCAUUUAUGUAUUGAGGAGCGAGCCCUUAUUCUAUAAAAGGGACUCCCUCACCAUCA
rnacentral:lncRNA from 1 species